AUGAACGCUGGCGGCGUGCCUAAUACAUGCAAGUCGAGCGAACAGAUGAGGAGCUUGCUCCUCUGACGUUAGCGGCGGACGGGUGAGUAACACGUGGAUAACCUACCUAUAAGACUGGGAUAACUUCGGGAAACCGGAGCUAAUAUCGGAUAAUAUAUUGAACCGCAUGGUUCAAUAGUGAAAGACGGUUUUGCUGUCACUUAUAGAUGGAUCCGCGCCGCAUUAGCUAGUUGGUAAGGUAACGGCUUACCAAGGCGACGAUGCGUAGCCGACCUGAGAGGGUGAUCGGCCACACUGGAACUGAGACACGGUCCAGACUCCUACGGGAGGCAGCAGUAGGGAAUCUUCCGCAAUGGGCGAAAGCCUGACGGAGCAACGCCGCGUGAGUGAUGAAGGUCUUCGGAUCGUAAAACUCUGUUAUUAGGGAAGAACAAAUGUGUAAGUAACUAUGCACGUCUUGACGGUACCUAAUCAGAAAGCCACGGCUAACUACGUG
rnacentral:rRNA from 1 species